UGCCCACAAAGUUACGGAGGUGCUCACGGAGUAUGGAGUGUUCUGUGGUGUCAAAAGCAGCAGCAAGUUUUAUGAGAAUUAGGAGUGUAAGCCACACAGUGAGGAGCGAAGAAAGUCACAGCACAUACAAGAGCAGGGACCUAAGUGGAUACCAUAUUGUACUGGGUUAUUGGGACAAAUUGUGGGAGUUAUUUUCAGAGGGGUGGGAGACGAUAACCCUCUCUAUGAUUUUUCAGCGGAAAUUGAGGCUUGAGAGUGGAUGGGAAUGUCUAAUGCUGUUGGGAUCCAGUGUGUGUGUGUUUUUUGCAGGAGAGUGGAAACAUGAGUUUUGAGUUUUAAGAGCUAAAGGAAUAGUACCGAAUUAGAUGGAGGCCUGGGAAUACAGACGAACACAUGCAUUAGUAAUAGAAGAGUUACCCAUCAGAAUUCCAUUCCUGAUUUUCUAAACCUAUUCAGAUAAAUCGUUGAUACGUUUUUCAAACUUGGAAACUGAUGUAGUGGAUAAGGAAGCCAUGCUCUGGGGACAAGGAAGGGAAUGGAAAUGCAAACCUAUUUAAAAAAAUAAACAGUGCAAAUGGCAUGCAAACAUCGAGAUACCCAAUACAUCCUUAUACAGCCGAAAAUAGAAAUGCUGAUAACAACUAGUUCAAACGCUGUUUCCAGUUCCUCUUAUGUAAAAGUUGCAACUACUUUACACACAGAUACCCAAUACAUCCUUAUACAGCCGAAACUAGAAAUGCUGAUAACAACUAGUUCAAACGCUGUUUCCAGUUCCUCUUAUGUAAAAGUUGCAACUACUUUACAGACAGUAAGACUUGGGGAAAUAUACAUUCUGUGCAUGCUCUGACUUACUUCAUUCUGAACAAGGCUGAACAAGUUGCAAUUGCAGGCCACCAGUCCUCCAGGUGAACAAGACAAGAAUGCACGGACCGGACAAUUCUGGGUGGUCCCAACCCCUUCCUCCCUACACCAUAUCGGGCGCGAAAAAUGAAGGCUCUACAUAUCCAUCCCCUGUGCCCCCCAAUUACCCCAUGCCAAUGUCUGCUUACCCGCAACCUGUUCAAGGGCCUCAGAUGGUCGUUAUGCAGCAGCAGCAGCAGCAACAACAACAACAACAGCCUCAAACGUUUGUCAGCAUUGCACCACAGAGCUAUCUGGGCUGGUCCAUAUUCACCUGCCUUUGCUUGUGCUGGCCGAUCGGCAUCCCUGCACUGGUGUUUUCUACGAUGGUGCAAGACAAAUGGACUAGAGGUGAUGCGCAUGGAGCACUGGAAAGUUCGAUAAUCGCCAGGAACCUCAAUAUCGCCGGAACCACAUUGGGCCUCGUAUGGAUUGUGGCUGUGUGCAUAGCAGUCCCUCUUUAUUAUCGAAGUAGUUAUUAUUAUUAUUAUGGAUAGGCAUGUUAUAUCUGUCUAAGAUGCCUAUUUUUUGCUGAUUCUUGACAUGGUAUUGCCUUUUGAUAUCAGAUGCAUUUGAAACUCGUGGUAAAAGUAAUCUCUGUGAUCAGAAGUUAAACUCUAAAAAGUACCAGGGAGUGAAUUACAAUGAUGAAGGAUGACACUUCAGUCUCUUUGAAUACUUGCAAAGGCAGAUAAGUUAUAAUAUAUUUCAUGCAACUGCCUGAAAAUGUUUUCUUAACAUCCUCAUGCACUUCUAGGAGUUUACCUUAAUGUUUCAGUUAUUUGCUUGUUAUUUUGAGCAUCAUAAGGCUGUGAAAACAAAUUUCCAGUUUAUUCUUUGGGGUCUUAUUUGUCAACAAUGAUCAUCACUUAUAGUCUGUCCACUGGUAGAUGAAGGCUCCACAUGCCACCACUCUCGGUUUUUAUGCCGCAAGUCAGCUCAGUUCUGCACAUGAACGGAUCUCAUUGUUCCACCUCCACAAUGGUCGUAAUCUUGGGGACAUUCUCUUAUUUGGCGGCAUUUCCAUCACCAGUCUCGUUCACAUCAGCGACCAACUUUUUUGGCGAUAUGCCCUGGCUAAGUCUAAUUUUGUUUUACUCAUUUACAUUAAGUGGAACUUUUCGUAGAUUUUGUGAAGUUAUUCAAUAAUUUUGAUUAUCCCUUUCAUUUACUCUUUUAUCAGCAAAUUUUGGGUCACUAAUACUUCAUAUGUUUAUUCAUUUAUUGCUGUAAUAAUAUUGGAAUUUGGAAAAUAUAUUGUAAUUUUGAUUUGAAUUGCUUUGGUGAAAAUGUAUCUUGUUGCCUGAGAGAAUUUGGAUGACUUAAAAUUCCUUUGAAUUAAAUAUAUUUUUUAUUAGU